rfam:Gossypium hirsutum cultivar TM-1 unplaced genomic scaffold scaffold4835.1, whole genome shotgun sequence
UGUUAAAAUUUGUCCAUUUCUACUGUUAAAAACCAGCAUGAACAGAAUAACCAAAUAAUUACACAUGGUGCACCACGUGUACCUCAUGCCGACGUACAAGAAUCAAUUUUUAAUAAUAGAAAUGGAUAGGAUUUUAACA